ensembl:lncRNA
UCCCUCAACUCCCCCUCAGCCCCCAGGCCCGUCGCGAGGGCUCGCCAGGCCUCAGCCCCCCGAUUGGUGGCGGCCGCGCCCAUCCCCCACCGGCGGGCACGGGAACAAGGUGAAUGACUCGACAAAUCUCAGUUUGGGGCCUGGACGCCGGCCGAGGCCUAAAUUCUGCCUCAGACGUGCUGGUGGUCCCUGGUCCUCAGGACGAGCAGGAAUUUCUCAAAACAAAUGAGAGAAAAAUAAGUUUCCAUCCAUGAAAAGACUAUGGUGUGUCCACAUUGAAUUUUGAAAAGAAAGAUCUGUCCUUUGCAGGCGCUUCAGAAGAAAUUGCUUCAGAGCUGGCACCAAUGGAAGUGACAAGCCCAGCAACAUGGUCAGACUGGCAGGCAGACGAAACGGGCAUGAAGACUAUUUUUGCAGAAGAAGGAACUUGGAGGUUGGAUUCCAAGCCUGCUACCUAUGUGCCCCCAGACACAGAACUCAACAUACACACAGGACAGACCAUCCGGACGGAGCCUGUUGAGCAGAUUCCAGUAUGGCCAUUCCUGUAAUUAAACCUACUACAAACUAGCCACAGGCUGUACCUUACAAAAGUUAAAGAUAAACCCGCCCCUACUCUUCUUUUACCUUGCAGAAGUCCCCCAUACCAAGAAGGUUUCCAUGGAAACAAGAAACACACAUAAACCAACCUUAGCCUGGCGGAUGGAGGGGGCUCGCUCUUCCACUAGCGAUUAGAGACUGCCACUCCUUCUGUGGGGUGGACUUUUUUCUUCUAUUUACUCUCUGCUAAAUAAACUGACUUGUAGUGCAAACUCUAAUGUCAGCUCACAUUAGAAUUCUUUCCUGUGUGAAGCCAAAGACACUCUUUUCCUAUAACAUUAUGGUAUUUUCUCCCGUCAUUGUGCUAUUGGAAAUAUUUAAUUAUAAGAUACAAAGUAAAACAGAAGCAUAUAAUUAGUUUUGUAGUAGGCCUGAUCAUUUUAGAAGUAACUUCAACUUUUUUUUUUCCCCUUAAAAUCUUGACCUUUAGGGAAAAGUAACCUUCACAGAAGCUCAUUACAAACAGGAGCUGUCACCAAUACUCCAAGUGGUGAAUCUCACGAAUUUCAGUUUCUUCUCAAAAAUGAAGGCUUUGCAAAGAGUCAGUUCCCUUCAGACCUAAGAUGAGAUGUUUUUAUGAUUUAAAACAUGAGGUCAAGUUGAAUAAGGCAGGAGUUGAUGGAUGAGGAAUUUCAUUAUUACUGCAGACAAAGAACUGAACCCACAGGAUGCAAGAGGAACCCUGCUUUCAAUAAAAUAUACUAGCUUUUAUUUUUAAUGAUAAAAUACAGUGUAUAGAUACAAACACUAUGUACACCACAGCCUGCCACUCAUUCAUUCAUUCAUUCAUUCAUUCAUUCAUUCAUGACUGGUUGCUGAUGAAGCAGGGAGCAAAACCCUUGUUUCCUUAGUUUCCUCUUGGGUGGCUUCCUCUGAAAAUGGUGGCUCCUGAUAGCAUAAAGGGCAUGGCCAGCACAGACCCUCAGACCUGUCACCCUCUGAUGGCCAGGAAUAGGUCAGUGGAGUAAGUCACCAGCCCUCCUGGCCUUUUACUGCAGUCACAAUGCCAGGAAACGCACAGUAACUCCCUAAAUAAUCCUUCUGUUCACUUUUGCUGUGGUUUCAAUGCUCACAUCAGGUUUUGUCUUUACAUCCUUCGCCUAACUUCUCUUCUAGCAAAAGGACAUUUGGAGUGUUACGGGUUUCAGUAAGGACAGAUCACUCCUAUCGUGAAAACCCCAACUCCAAGUAGUGACGGAGGAGAUACACUUGUUAUAAUGUCAUCUGUGGUGCUCUACUGACGAAGAACUUGAGCAAAAAUAAGAAUCAGAAAAGGAGAGUGUGGUGGAGAUGCCAGGGAUCGAACCUGGGGCCUCAUACAUGCAAAGCAUGUGCUCUACCACUGAGCUACACCCCCUGCCCCCAAGGCUUUAUUUCCUGAAAUUCUCUGCUACACUAAUCUGAAAAAUGUUUUCCCCCUACAUUUUAUAUAUUUCAAUAAGCGUUAGGGUUUAAAACAAGCAAACCAAAAUAAAUCAUUUUAUUUCUCCCAAAUAUAAAAACUUAUAGCUGAAAUUCUGACACUGGAACCAAGGAACAAAGGGAAACAGACCUUUUUUUUUGGUGGAGGU